rnacentral:rRNA from 1 species
UACGUAGGGUGCGAGCGUUCGAUCGAUCUGGGCGUAAAGAGCUCGUAGGUGGUUUGUCGCGUUGUUCGUGAAAACUCACAGCUUAACUGUGGGCGUGCGGGCGAUACGGGCAGACUGGAGUACUGCAGGGGAGACUGGAAUUCCUGGUGUAGCGGUGGAAUGCGCAGAUAUCAGGAGGAACACCGGUGGCGAAGGCGGGUCUCUGGGCAGUAACUGACGCUGGAGGAGCGAAAGCGUGGGGAGCGAACAGG